GAUGGUCUGAAUAGGGGUUUUUCACUUUGCGAUGAUUGGUUCCCUGCUUUGGGAACAGAUUCUUUGCAAAACGACAAUUUUCCUACAGCUGAUCGGCAGUUUCAAAAUGGCCGCCGGGUAAAUAAAAUGGGGCUCUGCUGUUUUCUGGGACGGAUUCCUCGCUGCACAGGCACCGAAAAUGGCUGCCCUAUGGAGGAUCUUUGCUGGACGGUGAGUUUCCAGCCCACUGGAAUGCACUGAAGGGGUUUCAACGCGUUUCAAUGGGCUUUUUAUUCUCACAUUCCGACUUUUUCGUUCUACAGCGAUUUCGCUGGAACGAAUUAACAUCGUAAUGCGAGGCACCACUGUAUUCAGCUUAUAAAUAUCAACAACCUAUUUUCUAACAAUGUAGUUAUGAUGGAAACAGGAAAUGCGCAACCCUGUGGCCCUUGCAAAGAUUGUUAUUUGUAACUCACAAAUGACAAUGUUAUUGUGUAGCUCAGAAAGAAAAAAAAUCAUCUUAUAGCUGCCUAGGUCAAAUGAAGUAUCUUAUUUUUUACAAUCCUUGUUCACGCCCCUUGUCUCAUUGCUACCUUGAGCAACGCGACUCACAAUCUUCAUGUGUUGAUUUACCAUCAGGACAUGCUCUUUUCUUGGUGGUAACGGGAAUUUACAGGUGAUAUCCCUAAGCAACAAACCAAAAGCUGAAGACCGUCACUGCACACUAAUUCGACUGUCUUCAGUUCUCAAGGGCAGAAUCCUGCCCCGUGUCCAAGAAUUCUGGGAAUGAUCAUCCAUUAACAUCGGGAGCACACCAGGCUGGUAAAGGUCUAAGUGAGGGAUCUACACGAGCAGGAGCAGAACAGAAGACGGAGAAGCCUCCUUGGAAGAAUGGGGUACUGCAGAUUCAAAAGUCUUCCAACCUGUCCCAGCAGAGGCCUACAGUGGAGAAAACCCAACAGACUCUACCAUCACGCCGUGAAGUCCCAGAAAAAAACAACAACACCAACUAUUGUUUAUUCAAAAGAAGAAAAGAACUGAAAGUGGCAGCAAAGAAGAAGAAAGUGUUCAAAAAUGAAAAGCAAAUAUUGCAGGGGCUUGGGAAAAAAAGAUAUGAGAUGAGUCCAAUGAAAUCAAUAUGGCAUGAGAGGUCUUGAAAACAUAAGUGUGAAAGAAUGAAUGUAUUUUCAUAUAUGUAAGUUACGUUUCUUGAGGUAUACCAUUGUGUAGGACGUAAAAGUAGCUACAAAUAAUUUUUUUCAACUUGAUAUAAUAGCACAGAAGCAACGCUCACUUGCUUCUUCAUACAUAAACCAGAACAAGAUAAACUAGUAUUGCCGUUUCUUUGAUAUAUCCCACCAUAGAUACAGCUUGGUUCACUAAACUAAUGUACGCCUGGGCGUUGAGGUGGAAGAAAAGGGAGAACAGGAAAAGCAAGGGUCAUGAAAUGUUACCCUUGAACAAUAAACAAUGUACAGGGAAGAGAACA
rnacentral:lncRNA from 1 species